UAAAAGUAUAAGAAGCUCCACCAGUCCAGGCUGAAGGAUACCCUGAGCAGCAGCCUGGGGAGGAUGCUUGUGAGAGCAGAACGGGUUUUGCCUACCCAUUGAGGAGAAUGGAAAGAUGAUGGUAUGUGCAAGCCAUAAAUGAGGACUCAUCACCGCGUUUCCCAAAGGCUUGCUUGACCUCCAGCCUGGAUGGAGACAUCCAUGGGGUGGGAGAUUGGACCACGCAGCCAGGACCAUCCCAGGUGUGGGCAUUGGGUCUUCAGCCAAAUGCGUCGAAUGGAGCCAAGCAUGGUGAGGGACCAGGGAAAGGACAACAUCGUGCAUCGAGGCUCAGCUCUACCGCUGUAAUGAAAGAUUAAAUCAUUUUCUGAAAAGAACGUUACUUAACAUAAGAAGUUUCCUGCACACGAGAGCAAAUGAAGUCCAAGAGGUCUGAACAGACCAACAUGGCUGUGCAAGCAUCAUUCCUUGGAUGUUUCAGGUGAAACGAGGAUUUGGAUAGGGAAUCAGUUUUGAUGAUAAGUGCCAUUUUCAGCAAAAUUGUGGACCCAACGCUGAUCUGAGUGCAGACACCUGUCCCUUGGUUAUCACCCAACGUCUGUUCCUACAUCUCCCUGUUGAUUGCAGGGAGGUUAAACCAGAUGGCCUUUAAGGAUUCCUUCCAACUCCAAACCUUUCUAUGGUUCUACAGCCUUCCAAUCAGAGGACAACAUUGAAGGACCUUCACCAGCCGGCAGCAUGAUGUUGGGAAGCCACAGAUAACACUUGGCUCCGUGCACACCCAAGGGUCUUGAAGGACCAGCUCUCGGAAGACACCUGAAGGUUGCUCCUAUCAGGUUCCUGUUCCCUCCCCUUUGUGGAUGCAGACUGUACAUUAAGGUAAUGAAAGAAAUGGUUCAUCACAAGCGUUAGGACCCUCUGGAGGUUGAUGUGGGGGGGAAAUGUUGUCCUCAUUAAAGAUACUCCCUACUCAGGAACAAGGAAGACAGACUGAUGGCUACCAAACAUAGACAAAAGCCAUGGGCCAAAACCACUGUAGUAAGAGCACUAGCAGGAGGGAGCUGGACCAGGAUGCAUACCUAUGGUAUGGUCACACACAUGAGAGAUGUGAGGACAUUGCUUCAGCUGAGCACCUCAAUACUGAUAAGAAAACAUGGUGUGGGACCUGAUGUGCUGAGUGUCUUCAUCUCCACCACCAGCCAGCAGUGGCCAGAUGUGCUUGAUCCUGCCCAUUUCUUCCCUGGCCACCAUCAGCCCGGGAGAUCCUUUGCUAGCAUAGAAUCACAGAACCAGUCAGGUUAGAAAAGACCUCUAAGAUCAUCCAGCCCAACAAUCAACCCAUCUCCACCAAGCCAUGUCCCUCAACCGUACCCCCUAUGGGGCUGCAUUCCCCACUCCCACCCCACUCAGCCGAGCAUGCCUUUCCCCCAGCUCCUGCACUGGGGGACGAAGCUCUGGUGCUCCCGAAUGCCUGGAGGUAUAAUAAGCACUGAAGAGGAGUCAGUCGUGGUGUUAUGUAUCCGACCAGCCUGCAAUCUCGUUUUCUCCCUGGGCUGGGUGAGUAGGGCAAAGGUUGCAGUCGCUGGCUGUCACUCCGGCUCUGCCUUGCUGCGUGUGCACCGGUGUGUGCACGCAUUGCCCAGCACCUGGAUUGAGGUUUGUUUCAGCUGCAGUGCUGCAGACAGCCUGUUUGGUUUGGACAGGGCUGGGGGAACUGUGAAGCCAGUCGGGAUAUAAUCUAAACCCUGGACUCUGCAAUCACAGAAUCAUUACAUUGGUUGGGAAAGUCUUCUAUGACCAACAAGUCCACCUAUAACCAAUACUGCCCACCCUACUGUGAAGAUAGCCCAAGCCAGGGGACAGCUCAGCCCCAGCCCCAUGAUAAAGGAUGCCUGUGGAAACCUUGGCUCUUCCACAACAGUUUGGGCUGAACACAGCACAUUCAGGGAUGCUCUUCAGCUCCCACUCACAGACUGACCAGAGACGCUCACAUUCCUUUAUCCCAGGGAAACCUUCACAGUGCAUUCGGAGGCAACGUCCAAAAGGAAAGACUGUGGAUCCCAAUGCCUCUUCCAGUGCCACACCUGAGAAUACACAGAGAGGAGUGAGUCUCCCAGCCUUGGCGCUGGGUUUUAGGUGACGGCACAGCAGAUCUGUUAGGACUGAAUGCCUGCAUGUGUGGCUUGUGAAAACUCACACAAAUAAACGCACACCCACCAGCACGCCUGCGGGAGUGCUCUGCGACCCACACAGCUGAGGAAAACCCACCUUUGCACGCCGUGAUUCUCUUCUGACCGCCGUCCCCUAUUUAGCACACCUCCACCAACCAGGUGAGCACGGGUGACGGCGACCGCUCGCUUUCCGUUUGUAAUGCACUGGACACAGUUCUUUUGUCAGAGCAAUUUUCAUUUGGUAAAGCUGCUUCUGUCUGUGAGCUGCGCUCGUAUACAGCACCUUCCCUGAGCAGUCAUCAGAGCAGCUCUGAAAUGUUUGGAUAGUUUGAAAUAAAUUUCAUCAGAAAAACCAC
rnacentral:lncRNA from 1 species